GAUGAACGCUGGCGGCGUGCCUAAUACAUGCAAGUCGAGCGAACAGACGAGGAGCUUGCUCCUCUGACGUUAGCGGCGGACGGGUGAGUAACACGUGGAUAACCUGCCUAUAAGACUGGGAUAACUUCGGGAAACCGGAGCUAAUACCGGAUAAUAUAUUGAACCGCAUGGUUCAAUAGUGAAAGACGGUUUUGCUGUCACUUAUAGAUGGAUCCGCGCCGCAUUAGCUAGUUGGUAAGGUAACGGCUUACCAAGGCAACGAUGCGUAGCCGACCUGAGAGGGUGAUCGGCCACACUGGAACUGAGACACGGUCCAGACUCCUACGGGAGGCAGCAGUAGGGAAUCUUCCGCAAUGGGCGAAAGCCUGACGGAGCAACGCCGCGUGAGUGAUGAAGGUCUUCGGAUCGUAAAACUCUGUUAUUAGGGAAGAACAAAUGUGUGAGUAACUAUGCACGUCUUGACGGUACCUAAUCAGAAAGCCACGGCUAACUACGUG
rnacentral:rRNA from 1 species